GGGAGGCAUCGGGCCGCUCGCACCUGUGGUGAAGAAGAAAAUAUCUACCAGCAAAAGAAGGCAGCAGACUGGAAGUGGAUCUUUGUGUGUUUUGAGCGUGUUCUCCAACAGGCUGACAGCACCCACGCCCUCCACACAGGAGACUCUGUGUGUGCAUACGUAAGAAGCCCGUGGCACGGCAGGUCAGUCUUGCACGAUUGGAAUUUGUCAAGUGUGCCGACCCAAGUGGGCUCACAGGAGUCUUUCAGCCUCUGUUUCCACCGCUCGGAUCAGUCCUUCUGACAUGCAGAUAUUCC
rnacentral:lncRNA from 1 species